rnacentral:rRNA from 1 species
UACGGGGGGGGCAAGCGUUGUUCGGAAUUACUGGGCGUAAAGGGCGCGCAGGCGGCUGCUCAAGUCAGGCGUGAAAGGCCUGGGCUCAACCCGGGAAUUGCGCUUGAGACUGGGCUGGCUUGAGUGCGGGAGAGGAUGGUGGAAUUCCCAGUGUAGAGGUGAAAUUCGUAGAUAUUGGGAAGAACACCGGUGGCGAAGGCGGCCAUCUGGACCGCAACUGACGCUGAGGCACGAAAGCGUGGGGAGCAAACAGG